AACGAACGCUGGCGGCGUGCUUAACACAUGCAAGUCGAACGCGAAAGGGACUUCGGUCCUGAGUAAAGUGGCGCGCGGGUGAGUAACGCGUAGAUAACCUGUCUCCAUGUCUGGAAUAAUACGCCGAAAGGGGUACUAAUACCGGAUAUUCUUGCUUUUCAUAAGUUAUGCAAGCAAAGGUGGCCUCUGCAUAUGCUACUGCAUGAAGAGGGGUCUGCGUACCAUUAGCUAGUAGGUGGGGUAAUGGCCUACCUAGGCGACGAUGGUUAGCGGGUCUGAGAGGAUGAUCCGCCACACUGGCACUGGAACACGGGCCAGACUCCUACGGGAGGCAGCAGUGAGGAAUAUUGCGCAAUGGGGGAAACCCUGACGCAGCGACGCCGCGUGAGUGAAGGAAGGCCUUCGGGUCGUAAAGCUCUGUCAAGAGGAAAGAAGUGUACAAUGGCUAAUACCUGUUGUAUUUGACGGUACCUCUAAAGGAAGCACCGGCUAACUCCGUGCCAGCAGCCGC
rnacentral:rRNA from 1 species